UUGGGUGGCGUGUGUCGUCAUUGACCGUGAAUGUGCGGAGGGGACAGGAGAGCGGCGGAGAAACAAAGUCGGAAAAACGAGUGAAAAUAUGGAGUAAAAAACGACCUUUUGGUCGCCGCUUCGUCGCGUUGGUUUGUUAGCACUGCGAGAAACUACUUUGCCGAAAAAACUGGGAUCUUAAAACAAGAUUUGGAGCUGUUUUUGUCGAACACAGGCUGGACGCCGAACACACCUGCGGCUAAGGUCUUUCCUUGUUGAGCUGCUGCAGCCUGGAGGGAAACACCAGCUCUCACCUCACACACCAAACAGGUCCAGGCAGAUCAAAGCCAGGCUGCAUCCAGGAUUUGAUAUUGACAAAGAGCUGCACACACUGUCUCUACAGACUGACCCUCUGCAUUCAGUUUAAGAGCCUGAUUAAGGCCUUAUGCUAACCAGAGGCACACAGGUUCACCACAGUCAGGAGAAGGUGUUUACUUUGAAUUAGGAUCAGACAGAGCUGUGGAUGCAGACAGAGGAUGAGAAGCUGAUGGGUCUGCAGCACGAGGACUCCUUCUGAUUGGAAGGCUUUCUCUGACUGAAUCCCAGCUGACCACACAGCCUCACCUGAUAGGACCUCACCUGAUGGGACUGUCAGCUGUGACCAGUUUGUAAGAUAAAGUUCCCACGCUGCAGAGACAGAUGAGUUAAUCUGAGCCUGUGAGCUGGAGACGAUGGAUUCUGCCUCAUCAACCAGGGAGAUGAUGUUACACCAAACAGGAGCCAUGUUUACUUCCUCUCCUCCAGACUCAAACUUCACCCAUCAAACGACAGAGAGAAGAGACAUGAAGAUUUCCAGGUCCAGACCUUCAGCUGCCUCCAUCUUCUUCUCCUCCACCUGCAGAGACACAUCAUGUUAAUCACUCAUCAAUAAAUCUCCUCCUCCUCUAAACUGUCCUCAGUCGUUUUUGAUGGUUAAUUACAG